GAAAGUUUGAGCAAAGACGCAGACAUGAUACGAAUAUUGGCAUCGUGAAAAAGUAAAUAAAAUAAAUAAAGUAAUACAUACGCGAUUGAAUUGUUUUUUCUUCAAAGUAUCCAAAAGUCAAAAUAGUCAGGACAUUAUACAUUGAGAUGGACAAAGCAAAAAGAGAGAUGGCAGAUAAAAAGACAGGUAUUCUCGAUCGAUCGAUUUUGAUUUUAUUUCCUUCCCCACACAUAAUGCACAAUACGUCCCGUUAGCCUUCAUCACUGACACGAUUGUAAGUACUACAAGAAUUCUCUUUUUUACGCUUACAGUACGUAUACGUACAUUUUAUGCACUUUUUAGACGGUUCAUAUUUGCGGGCGUUCGCACUUGCUGCGUUAUUUACAACGAUAAUCGCCUUUCAUACGAGCUACGUAUUUCCAAAAACCGCUGUUUCCAAAAAUUGCUCCGAAAUUUGAGCGAUAAUCAAACUAAAUAUAAUCGAAUCUCGAUAUUUUAAAUUCUUUCUGUUCUUAAUCAGUUUAAACUCUAAUUAAUAUUUAACUCAUCGUUAAAUAUUUUACGUGUUUUUUUCGCACUGCUAUGAUUAUGUAUUUUCUAUGUUUCGCUUUUCCAAUCGAAAUUUAUUUUUGUACAUACAAUGAUAUUUUCGUUCUAUACGUCAAAUUUUUAAAAUAAUAUAAUAAUAACAAAUCUUAAAAUUGAUGAAAACUAAAGAAGAAGUUGUAAAGUUGCCCGAUUGUACAUUAUUUUCAAAUAAGAAAAUUUUUAUUGAAAAAUAUGCAACAUAAAAAUAAUUUCUCAGCCAUUCUAACAAAAUAUACAAUAGUAAUGCUUUAUUUAGUGAUUGUUGUUGACUGAUUGAUAAUAAUAAUUGUAAAAAAUUCUGAACACAAAACUUAUUGAAUGUUAAAAAUGCUAAACUUUUAUUUUUCUAGAAGUCUAUUUUUCACAAGUGUGAAAAUACUACUUUAUUUUUUCAAACUGCAUUUAUUUUUUUUUUACUUAAGAAGAAUAAUUAAUUUUAUUCCAUAACAUUUAGAGAUAAUAGCGGGUGUUGAAAAUGAGCGACUCGUACAAUAGUCAAUAUUGUAUAGUUAUUGAAGAAAUCGCGCGAGCCGCCCGAACCGCGAAUUGCACCUUGUUUAUUGUAAACAAAUAAAUAAUUUAUCUCCUCGCACAAAAGUAUUCCCAGCUCACACCAAGUUGCGCUCAGUUUGCAGGAGCUCAGCCUUCUUACAUCUUAUAUUAGUAUCAUUUAACAUUUAAGAGUUAUUAUGGAAGAUUUGAAGAGUGUAUGCUGCCAUUCUCAUGUCUCCCAGUCUUAAUUAAUUUUGUUUGUUGAUUAGAUCUCGCAAACGUAAUCAAAUAAAAACGUAAACAUUAUUUCUUCUAAUAAUUAUACAUUACAAUUUAUUUUGUAUAUAAAAAAUAUAAACUAAUUAAAUCUUAUAAAAGAAGAACAUACAAUUUAAAAAAUAUCGAAAAAGAAAAGAAAUUUGUAACAUAUUAAAUUUUCUUAAUCUCUUUGUUUAAAACUAGAAUUGUUUCAAGAUUAGUUCUUUUCCUUUUAUUUUUAUUUUUAUGCAAAAAAAAGUGGAAUUACUUUAUCAUUUUUAAAAAGGGAUAAGGAUAAAAUGUUAAGGAAGAUUAAGGAAGAUUAAGGAAUAUUAAGGAAGAUUUUCUUAAUAUGAAUUAAAGAAUAUGCUGUACUUAUAGUGUGUAACGCGAUAUUGUGGAAGACGAUUGAUAUUCUACUAUAGAAGGUCCAAAAUAUCAUCAAUGCGAGGAAUCAUCGAUAAGAGCAUUACGCUUUGUGUGAGGAAGCACUCUUUAAGCUAAAAAAUUCUAUUUUAAUUUUUAGAAUUGCUAUUAAUAAUAUCUUAUGAUAAUAAAUUCUAAAAUCCAUUAUAAACUUUGCAAUUGGCACAAUGUCGAAUGACAAAUUUAAGACAAAAUCAAACUCAAGUCUUUUGUGUAUUCAGUUUUACGUAUACGUAUAGACUUUAAAAUAGUACAAAAUAUCGCAUUUGCAGCUAUCACGAUUAUUAUAUUUUUUAAUAAUACAUUCAUCUUCAGAGAAUACAUAGAAAAUUUUAUAAUAAUUAGAAGUUUGUAUCUUUUUUAUGUGAGUAAAUAAUAUUUUUUUCCCUAAAUCUUUUUAAAAAUUUGAAAGAGUAAUAUAUAUAUAUAAAUAUAUAUGUAUAGGAAGAUUUUUUAUGUAACUAUUUCAUUGUAUAUAGGCGGAAUUUUUCUUUUCGCGAAAUCUGUAUAUUUUUAUUCACUAUUGGCUUUAAUAAUUCAUUAGAUUGCAGUCGAAAUUUUUUUUAGUAACGCUUAUAUAUUCGAUUCUAUAAUAAUUUAUAUAGAGAUAUAAGGAUAAAGAGAAAGAUUCUUCAGAAGGAAGACAAUGAGUGAUUAUGAUGUAAUAAUAAUGAAAUUUUUACAAAAGUCUGUUUUCUUCACCAAUUUUUUUUCGUUACUUUUAUAUAUUCAUUCUUAUAAUUUAAAUUCUUUUUUUAUAAUUUAAUUUAAUCGCGAAAUGAUAUUAUCUUAAAAUUAAUUAAGAGAGGGAGAUAAGCAGGAGGCAGCAUUCUGUUUCGA